rnacentral:rRNA from 1 species
CCUACGGGAGGCAGCAGUGAGGAAUAUUGGUCAAUGGGCGCGAGCCUGAUCCAGCCAAGUAGCGUGAAGGAUGAAUGCCCUACGGGCUGUAAACCUCUUUUAUAAAGGAAUAAAGUGAGGCACGUGUGCCUUUUUGUCUGUCCUUUAAGAAUAAGGAUCGGCUAACUCCGUGCCAGCAGCCGCGGUAAUACGGAGGAUCCGAGCGUUAUCCGGAUUUAUUGGGUUUAAAGGGAGCGUAGAUGGGUGUGUAAGUCAGUUGUGAAAGUUUGGGGCUCAACCGUAAAAUUGCAAUUGAUACUGGCAGGCUUGAGUGCAGGUGAGGUAGGCGGAAUUCGUGGUGUAGCGGUGAAAUGCUUAGAUAUCACGAAGAACUCCGAUUGCGAAGGCAGCCUACUAAACUGCCACUGACAUUGAUGCUCGAAAGUGUGGGUAUCAAACAGGAUUAGAUACCCGAGUAGUC